CCUACGGGUGGCAGCAGUGAGGAAUAUUCGUCAAUGGGCGCGAGCCUGAACCAGCCAAGUAGCGUGAAGGAUGACUGCCCUACGGGUUGUAAACUUCUUUUAUAAAGGACUACGUUGAGGAAAGUGUGCCUUUUUGCAUGUACUUUAUGAAUAAGGAUCGUCUAACUCAGUGCCAGCAGCCGCGGUAAUACGGAGGAUACGAGCGUUAUCCGGAUUUAUUGGGUUUAAAGGGAGCGGAGAUGGGUUCUUAAGUCAGUUGUGAAAGUUUGCGGCUCAACCGUAAAAUUGCAAUUGAUACUGGCAGCCUUGAGUACAGUUGAGGUAGGCGGAAUUCGUGGUGUAGCGGUGAAAUGCUUAGAUAUCACGAAGAACUCAGAUUGCGAAGGCAGCUUACUAAACUGCCACUGACAUUGAUGCUCGAAAGUGUGGGUAUCAAACAGGAUUAGAUACCCUUGUAGGC
rnacentral:rRNA from 1 species